rnacentral:lncRNA from 1 species
GUUUUAUCAAAUGGACACAAAUAUAUCUAUAGUGAGGGGAGUGCAACUACGGGACUUUAGUGGAAUGACCCGUUAGUUAACGAAUGUUGAUUAACUCGGUUUAAAAGAGUUUAGCUAGUUAAUCUUGAAUCGUUGGAGCCCAUGAUCUAUAGGUCCAUUAGGUUCCUCUGCUAGCUCAUAUGGAUUAAACUUAGAACAGUGUGAUGAAAUAAGUCGAAUUGUUCGAAUAGGGAGAAGAAAGGAAAAUCGACAUAUACAGUGAUA